GAUGAACGCUGGCGGCGUGCCUAAUACAUGCAAGUCGAGCGAACAGACGAGGAGCUUGCUCCUCUGACGUUAGCGGCGGACGGGUGAGUAACACGUGGAUAACCUACCUAUAAGACUGGGAUAAAUUCGGGAAACCGGAGCUAAUACCGGAUAAUAUAUUGAACCGCAUGGUUCAAUAGUGAAAGACGGUUUUGCUGUCACUUAUAGAUGGAUCCGCGCCGCAUUAGCUAGUUGGUAAGGUAACGGCUUACCAAGGCAACGAUGCGUAGCCGACCUGAGAGGGUGAUCGGCCACACUGGAACUGAGACACGGUCCAGACUCCUACGGAAGGCAGCAGUAGGGAAUCUUCCGCAAUGGGCGAAAGCCUGACGGAGCAACGCCGCGUGAGUGAUGAAGGUCUUCGGAUCGUAAAACUCUGUUAUUAGGGAAGAACAAAUGUGUAAGUAACUAUGCACGUCUUGACGGUACCUAAUCAGAAAGCCACGGCUAACUACGUG
rnacentral:rRNA from 1 species